AGAAUGGAGCUGUGGACACUCCGUAUGAUGAUCUGACAUGACAUUGUUCUCAUUUGUCUUCUUAAAGAAAUGAAAAAGUCUCAUGGCUGUCAUCAGAUAUAUCAGAAAAUAACUUGUCAGAACAUUGCUUAUUUCAUUUACCCACUUUGGACAAGCUCAAGAGAAUAAACCAGUUCUGACUGUGCAGCCAAACGCACCACAAAUAUUCAGAGGAGAGAAUGUUACACUCUCAUGUAUAAUUUCG